GAUGAUGAUGAGAACUUCCAAAUCCAAUUAGCUUUUACUGCCAGACAUGCACAAAACAAGAAGAAGCAGAAGAACCACGAGAACAACAGCUUCCAGUGGCCUGAGUUCGAGUUCGGCUGUUGUUGCCCUCGUGCUCUAAUUGGAAUUUUGUUGAACACGCGUGGGUCAAACACUCUGGCAAAACACAUUCGAAUAUCUGAAUGUUAAUGCAGACUUUUAUGUAUGUAAUACACACACACGUUUAUAUAGACGUUUUGCAUUUUUAAAUACAUAUGUAUUAUUACAUUCACGCACACACUUGUUCGUACACAGAAUUACCAGCAUACAUAUAAACAUACAUAUUCAUGUACGUACAUGAAUGCAUAUUUUUGAAUGUGUGUAUCUACUGCACCGCCUGCUGCUGCUGCUUCUGCUUGCUGCUGCUUGUGAGCAUCACAACAUUCUUUUUCUUUUUCUUUGUUUGCACACACAGAACACAGAAAAUUAGUGGUGAGUCUGAGA